UUCCCCUUUCUGUGUUCAUAACUGGUGCUGGGCCAUAUGACUAGAAUCAUUUAACUUUAUUGCAGUUUACUUGAAUACUUGUUUUUUUUUUUUAAAUAGUUUUUUAUUUUUUAUACAGACAAUUUCACAGAGAUGCUUUACAGAGAAAGAGGAAAAUGGGAAAGGCCGAACAUGAACCCCCCAGAAACCAGCAUGUGAGGUAAAAACUCCCCAGAGGGAAGAAGAAAAAAAAACACCUAAACAACUAGAUUUUAACUCACAGUCUGGUCUUUGUUCUACUCGGUACAUUUCAUGAUCAGUAAUUUCAGUUUCUCUGUAGUUGACACACAUGAAUUCUUCGUAUGAUAUUUCAAUAUAAGAGUUUGUAAUGCUUUCAUUUUUGAUAACAAUUGUCAACGUUGUGCUGUGUCUGAUGGCUUUUUCCUGUUUCUAUCCUCGACAGUUUUUAAAGGAUUGCUGUCUGCUAUGCAGUCUUAUGAAAUCUUGUUUUUAAAUUGUCAAAUAAAUUCGUUCACUCAUUCUGUCUUAUUUUAUUCUCGGAAAGCUGAAGUGCAGUACUAACAAUUGAUUUUCUAAUGAGAUCGCUGUUGUACUGGUUUUUCCCCUAUUACAAGAUAUAUUGCUGUGGAAGUAGAGCCUGCUCCUUAACAGUAAGGCUUGUCAUAUGCAGGCAACCAUUAAAACUGGUGUAAUUUUGUCUGUAUGAAUAAGAUGUAGUGAAAAUAUUUGUAAAGUGGAUACUUUUUAAAUGAAUGUCUGUUACUGUUUAUUGUGUCUCUACUGAGGUACGCUUAGACUAAACAAAUGCAGAUCUGGACAUGGUCAUAACCUUUGAUGCAUAUAAACAGUGCCCUUUCCCCUUAUGAUCAAAGGGCCAAUAUUGUGUCUGUAAUGGGCUGCAAUUUGGGCCCUGCUUUGCCAGUAUAAGAUGAAACAUUGGUGCAAAUUAAGUUAAAUUUUUUGCUCGUUGGUAAACUCCAGCAACAAUCCAAUUAAAUUGAUAUGAGUCUCACUUGAUUGUUAAACGAGAAAGUCGAAGCUGUUGGUUUUAUCCCACUUUCCUAUGUACAGCUUUUCCCAUAGAGGCAGUUAUGAACAACCUCGAAGCUGAUCCAGGGUCAAUAAGUGCUGCUCAUACAUUGCCCAGCUGGUGACAUUAAAUGGACGCUGGCUGGUCCUGGAACAGCGGCACUCUCUAACGCUGCGCUGUUUCAGCUGGGUCUCACUGCACUGACUCCAGGGCAAUUGAGAUCCGCCAGCCGCAGCGCUGCAGGCCAGGGUGCACUACCUCUUUUCUGCCACUAGAUGGCAUAAAAACGCUGAGUAUUUCACCAGCUUCACAUAUUGCAGACUGUGCCAGACGGUAGCGUGGGAAUGGCCAGAUCGUCAGCUCUUCUACAUUUGAGUAAGCACGGCACUCCUGAUAGAAAUUAUGAAUGGACUGAGGGGAGGAGUUACAUUCUGACCUAUUUAAUCAUGCACAAACUUGUCCUUUUCAUUUAGCUGUGGAUUAGAAAAGAUUGUAUUAUCUUUUCAUUAUAAUGUGCUUCUGCCACUGACAGUAUUCUGAUGUUAAAGUGUAAAAGGCAGCUAGAAUGACUGAAAUAUGAAUGAUUACAAUUAGUAUGUUAAAUUAGAUUCCUGUUUCAGUGUCUGUGUGUGUGUGUGUGUGUGUGUGUGUGUGUGGGUGUGGGUGCAAUCAUGAGAUCAUGUGCCCAAAAAUAUGCUACUACUACUACUACUACUGCUACUACUACUACUUCUGCUACUUCUACUAUUUCUUCUUUUUCUUCUGUUUAUAGGAGGAGUUUGUAGUCAUUACAGGAACUGUCCCCGGCUCUUGGAUAGAAGCUUCCUUCCACUCUGUAUCACCUAAGCUGUGUAGAUAUUCAAACAGAGGACUGUGCAGCAGACACAGUUGGCACAGGCAGACUACAGGCAGACUACAGGCACCUAAUUAACGCUGUAAUGGUGACCAAUAUAGAAGCAAUGUUCACCGCCAUUGUUAAUUUCAUCACCACUGCUGCUGGGUACAGCAGUGUAGCAGCUAUGUCAGCACAUGUAAGGUGAUCGGACUUACAAUCCAAAGUCUACCCAUAAUUAAGCAAUAUACUUUCUGAAUUGAAUUGGUCUUCUAGCUUUUAAGAUGUCAAUCAUUCAGCCUCUUAAGGAGAUAUUCUUUUCUCAGUAAUCUGUGCAGGUGGUUCCUGUGGGGCAGUUGCCUGUGCAGAUAGUUCCUUUGGGGCAUUUAACUGUGCAAGUGGCUCCUAUGGGGCAUUGGCCUGUGCAAGUGGCUCCUAUGGGGCAUUGGCCUGUGCAGGUGGUUCCUGUGGGGUAUUUGCCUGUGCAGGUGGUUCCUAUGGGGUAUUCGCCUGUCCAGAUACUUCCUUUGGGGCAUUGGCCUGUGAAUUCACAUUUGGUACAUAUAGCGCGACACAGAUCCAGAAAACCGUAUGUGGAGUGGAUGUGGUGUAUGUGGGAGACAUGGCCGCCACUGAGGCACAGCCGGAGGGAACGGUCUCCAGCGCACGCCCCUGCACACUGAGCCGGAGGGCCGGUGGCGAAACCUCCGAGGGCGCGGGCGUGGCAGGGUGCACUUCCUGCAGGAGCAGAACGGACGCAUGGGGGCGAAGCCUUAGUGCAGGAGACUGGAUGACCCCAUCCACAUUACGGGCCAGGGUGUGCCACAGAGAGAAGCGCUGCCCACUGCGUGCAGACCAGGCGGGUUUCCCUAGUAAUGGAAGCUUCUGUCACCUUCCAGAUGUCAACAUCUCUCACCUGCUGUUGUCACGUCGAUCAAUCACCUGUAUCCAGGACCCCGUUCCCUCACCUCUUCACCAGAUCUUCUCUUCCGCCAUCCUCCCGUUCAUCUCCUUCAUGAUCAAUUCAUUACAUUCCUAUGGCUGUGUGCCUCAAGGGAGCUCAGGUCAAACCUUUGGGGAAGAAACAGACUCUAGACCCUUCCGCUGGACAGAAUUAUUGUCUGGUCCUUGUCUGGUCUGUGUCCUUUUCUCUCUGCUCUCUUAUUCCAUUACAAUCAAUUAGCAGACACUUAUACAUAUGUACAGAAAUGUAACAUUAACCAAAUAAACAGCAAUUUGUAUUGCAGCUAAAAAAAGUACUAUACAGCGAGCCUAUCAUUACACUGCUAUACCUAUGACAUUAUCCAAAAGGAAAUCCAAAGCAAGAAAAAGAAAAUUAAAAGUUAUAUAAAAGGGGGUCAGGGGAGCCAUAAUGCCAUAGGGGCGACAUAGCUCAAGAGGUAAGACCGAUUGUCUGGCAGUCGGAGGGUUGCCGGUUCAAACCCCGCCCUGGGCGUGUCGAAGUGUCCUUGAGCAAGACACCUAACUGCUCUGGCGAAUGAGAGGCAUCAAUUGUAAAGCGCUUUGGAUAAAAGCGCUAUAUAAAUGCAGUCCAAGAGGUGAGUCUUCAGUAUACAGUGCAAGAUGGGCAGAAUUUAUGCUGUGCUGACUACAAUGGAAAGCUCAUUCCACCACCAGAACAAACAGGUGACGUGACCCGGAAAUGCAGGGGCCUCAUUUAUAAAAUUAUUGAUUUGAACUUAAACGUAAUCAUAAGAUAAUUUCCCAAGCUGUGCUUAUACUUGAUUUAUAAUAAAAUACCUGAGGCUGAAAAAAGUAUCUUAUUUUUGUUUAGAGUGGCAUAACUGUGUCUCAUGCACCUGUGAUAUUUCAGCCUCAAGGGAUAUAGAAUUCCUGUGAAUGUGCUUUUCCAUUACCUCUUGUUUUGAAUGUGGCAAAUGAUUUUCCUGUGAAUAAGGUUGCGCUUUCACAUUUUUUGCACUCGUCAUGCCUAAAAUCGAUCAGUUCAAUUAUAAAUUAAAUGUUAUUCUAAACACUCUAAACACAACCAACCUGAGGGAUUUGUGUGCCGGCUCUCAAACGUGCAGUAUGCCCGCAUAACCAGCAGUUAAUUUACUUAUGUCUUGUAAAAAUGUUUUGUAGAAACAUCGUAGAUACGAUCAUGUCCAUGUCGAAGUGCGCUUUUAAGAUGCAACUUGAGCGUGAGUGCAUUUUAUAAAUGAGGCCAGAGGCAUGGAGGGAACACCGGGCAUGCAGAGGUAGUCUGGAGGGGUCUGGUGGUUCUGUAGGGUCUGAUGAUCUUUCAAAUACAUAAUGGAGCUGUCUCUUUAGCUGCCCGAUAGGCUAGCGCCAAGGUUGUGAACUUUAUGCAAGCUAAUAUAUGUAACCAUUGGAGGGAGAUGAAAAGGGAUAUGUUUGAGUCUGGGGAGGUUGCAGAUCAGAGCAGCAGCAUUCUGGAUGAAGUCUGAUGACUGAGGCCAGGUGGGAGAUGAUCAUUGACUUGACUAUGAGCUGGUUUGACUAGGUGGUGAAGAAGGGCUGGGUUGUCCUAAUGUUUUACAGGAAGAAUCUGCACGCCCAAAACAAACUGCUAUGAUAUUCUUAGAGAGGGACAGUUUGCUGGAGGUAAAAAAUCAGAGAUUGUUUCAGAAUUCAGACUCUGAAUUUAAGUCAAUUAUUUGUCAUCCAGUUUGAGCUGUCUUGUAGGCAAGCUGAAAUGCAUGCUCAGACCAAUGUAUUGAAGGGGGGAAGGAGAGAGUUGUGUACCAUCAGCGUGGGGUGAUAAGACAGGCUAUAGAAAGAUGACAGAGUGAAGAGACUUGGUAUAGAGAAAAAAGAGGAGAGGACCGAGGUCGGAGCCUUGGGGGACACCUAUGAAGAGUUCCUGAGAUCUCAAAACUUCCUAUUUUCCCUUUACAUAUCUACACAGGUUGAAUGCGCUGUAGGAAUUAGUUCUAACCAAAAAUAAAAUCAAACCUAAUUUGUCAAGGAAUAAUUGCUCACUGAGAUCCACAAUGUUACUAUAGCAUUCUAUUGGAACAUGCAAGUUGUUGUAUUAGAAUAGAUUCCGUAUAUGCUCCAGUAGAAUGUAUUCAAUUCAUGUAGAAUGUUCAUGUAGACUCCAGUAGAAUGUUACUGUAACAUUGUAGAUUAUAUAUUCCAGUGGAAUGCUACUGUACUGUGCAGAUUCUGUAUCCCAGAUUCCUCACUCUCUCAGCAACAUUUUGCUGGUAGCUUUAAAUUUUAGAAGAGAUUCAUCACUAUUAUAGAAGCAUUUUUUUGAACUGGAAUACAGAAACAAUACUAUUUGAUUUCAUGUCUGUUUGGUAUUAAAAUUGCUCCAUGGUUUUGUACAAUGACAUUAGCAUACUGUAGAAAAUACAUAUUUAGGUAAAACUUGAUUAUGGUCUGAUUUAUCAUGCAUAUAACUUUUAUAUGUUAUGUAUUGCAUCAUAACUAUUGACAAAAUGAUACAUAAGUAUUAUAACCAGCUUAUAUUAACUCCUUUUCAGAAAAUAUGUGACGUGAUAUUACCUUACUAUAAGUUCACAUUCAUAUCAGAACAUCUUUAUUUCAGUUGGCACAAGCCUGCCAUAAUGUUUAUUUACUUAUUUAUUGAUUUAUGCUUUAUAGCCAUUAUUUAGCGCUCAAAACACUCUGAAGGUCCACUUCAAGACACAUUUUUGUUUUCGUUUUUGAUUAUGAUUUUUGUUCUCCUUCAAGAAUGUCUUUUGUAGGUUCAAGGUCAGCUUCAGUGGAAUAUUGUAAAGAAGAAUGGUGUACUUCUGCCUCUUUGACCCCCACCUGAGGACACUCCUAACACACAGAGUUUCCCUGUUGACCGCACUCUUCUCCCAUCCUCUCUAUGCACGAGUUGUUGCUAUGAUUACAGCUCGGCCAUGGCGCAGUGAAGGAGAGACAUAGAGAGGGAGAAAGGAAAGAAGGGAGGGAGGAGAGGGAGAGGAGAGAGAGAGAGAGCAUCUGUUCUGUCUGCCCUGGGAUUUUUGGCAUUGGGACACUGAGACAGAGAGAAGAUUGUCAGAAGGCACGCUCCCUCUAUCUCUCUCUCUCUCUCUCUUGCAC